UAAAUUGUGUUGAACUCCAGAAUUUCAAAGCUGUUACAUAUUCCAGCUGAGUUAUUACUCAUUCUCCUCUCCGAGACCAUAAAUAAAAUUAAAUGAAGAGUACAUUUUAGUACAGGUGGUAUUUAACCAGGGCAGCAUCUUAUCUAGGGGCUCAUGGGUUACCUGCCAAUUAGAGUCUUUGCGUUAAAACACAGUGGCUUUCUAAAUGCUCUUGUAUAGCAUAGAAGGUUCUUAUAAUGUGCUAUACUACCAAUAAUCCAGCUGCUGCUUUUUUGCCAGGUCAGGAGUGAUCUGUGGAAGAAAAAAUUGUUUUCUUUUUCCUCUUCCCUUGACUUGUUAAGAUUUGUGUGGCUGUUUCUUGCCAUUGAGGAGUAUGAACUACAACUUCUGAUCUUAGUGUUGUGACAGCAAAGGAAAUUAUUUGGAGCUGGAUAGGUCAAAGGAGAAUGGGAGGGGGGCUUAAAAGUUGUUUCCAGUAGGCCAAAAGAAUGUGGAUACUGUCUCUUCAAGGUGCAAUUUCUUACUUCAACAAACUGUUCAUCUAAGAGAAACAGGGAUAAAAGUGUUCAAUUUGGGACCUAAGGAGUUUGUAUGGAAAUUCUUGGAUUUCUUCCAAACACACAUACUUGUUGAAAUUAAAUUGUGAUUCCUACUUUGGAGACUGAGCCUUCCUGCUCAGACAGAAGUGCGUGUGUAUGUGUGUGUUUGUGAGUGUGUGUUAAUGCUAUGUCUCUUUUGGAUCUCUUGACACUUUUUGGUGCAUUUUUGUACUUCUUUGAAUGUGCAUAUGCGUACUUACCGAUGGUAUAUUGACGGCAUUCUAAAGGCCCUCAACAGCCUGAGACAGAGCAAAAGUCUCUACAUUUCUGCCCUGG
ensembl:lncRNA